CAUGAAAAAGCAACAUAGUGAUAAAAAGGUCAUUUUAUUUAGUACAAAAUAAUAAGCUACAAGUCACAACAAUAUUACAAUCUUAAGUUUCACAACCGCUGCUUGAACUAUGCAAGUGGAAUGAACAUUGGCAUGGUUACCAUCGUCGUCCAUUUGAACAUGUUCCUCCUCGUUGUUCAUAUGUCUCAACUGUUUUUCACCCCCACUUGGCAAUAAACAUCAUCGUCACCAAAUUUUUCGUGAUUUUCAAUAACUUCAUUCGAAAUGAUUACGCAAAGAAAAGUUUUUCUAUCUAAUACAAACCAUUUCACAUUGUUGUCGCAAUCAAUGAGGAUAGAUGCUGCUGGAGCCUUACGCAUUAUAGGGACUAGAGAUAACAUCUCCAUUUCAUAUGGAUUUCCAUCGACCUCCAACACCUCUUUGACUUUAUCAUGCAAUUCCACAUAAGAAAUUGUUUCCGAAACAAGAAUAUGAGUUGUUUCUCCUUGCCAUUUUCCGUAUAUUUCCAUUUUCAUACACUUUCAACCGACUGCUCAUAUUUAAUUGGACAGCAAACUAAUAUUCAUACCAGAUCCACAAUGCCCUUAACUACAAUUCAACAUAAACAUUUUAAAA
rnacentral:lncRNA from 1 species